AGGGAACCAGGAGCUGCGUCUCCCCGACUACCUGGGGCCCCCUGGCCUGGACAGGGGCAGCGCGCUCCCCACCGGCGACCUCGGUGCAGGGCACCCACAGCGAGGGUUCCCGGUCCCGGCCUCCCUCUCCCAAGCCUUCAUCCCCGUCGGCUGCUCGCUGCCGCCCUGCGCGUCACCUCCGUCUCCUGCCAGCCGUCCAGCUGGUGCUUUCUCGCCGCCCCUGACCGGCCUGGCCCGUUCGUGCACGGUCCGGCCGUACUGGAGGCUGCCUCCCUUGCCUGGGCCCACCCCGGUCAGCUGAGCCCGAGCCCCGCGGCCUUACAGCGAGUCGCCGCUCAGAGCAUGCGCAGUGCGCCCCCCGCGGCCCUUCUGGUCUGGGCAUGCGCAGUGGCCUCCCCCGCCUUCUGGGCAUGCGCGAGGGCCUCUGGGACCGGAAGUGCGGGCGAGCGCGAAGCCCCGGGUCUGACAGGAGCCGCGCGCCGCGCCGGUGCCCGUGCCUGGUGGCGGGAGAGGGGUCGUGUGCCCGCGCCGCCCCGCCAUGGGCCUCCUGUCGGACCCGGUGCGCCGGCGCGCGCUCGCCCGCCUCGUGCUGCGCCUGAACGCGCCGCUGUGCGUGCUGAGCUACGUGGCCGGCGUCGCCUGGUUCCUGGCGCUGGCGUUCCCGCCGCUGACCCAGCGCACGUACAUGUCCGAGAACGCCAUGGGCUCCACCAUGGUGGAGGAGCAGUUCGCGGGGGGCGACCGCGCCCGGAACUUCGCGCGCGACUUCGCCGCCCACCGCAGGAAGUCGGGGGCCCUGCCGGUGGCCUGGCUGGAGCGGACCAUGCGCUGGUGUCGGGUACCAACGUGUAUGGCAUCCUGCGAGGGCCCCGAGCCGCCAGCACGGAGUCCCUGGUGCUCACCGUGCCCUGUAGCUCCGACUCCACCAACAGCCAGGCCGUGGGGCUGCUGCUGGCGCUUGCUGCCCACUUCCGUGGGCAGAUUUACUGGGCAAAAGAUAUCGUCUUCCUGGUGACCGAACACGACCUCCUGGGCACCGAGGCCUGGCUCGAAGCCUACCACGACGUCAACGUCACUGGCAUCCAGUCGUCCCCCCUGCAGGGCCGGGCGGGGGCCAUCCAGGCCGCUGUGGCCCUGGAGCUGAGCAGCGACGUCAUCACGAGCCUCGACGUGACCGUGGAGGGACUGAACGGGCAGCUGCCGAACCUCGACCUGCUCAACCUCUUCCAGACCUUCUGCCAGAAGGGGGGGCUGCUGUGCACGCUGCAGGGCAAGCUGCAGCCCCAGGACUGGACAUCCCUGGACGGGCCACUGCAGAGCCUGCAGACGCUGCUGCUCAUGGUCCUGCGGCAGGCCUCCGGCCGCCCCCACGGCCCCCACGGCCUCUUCCUGCGCUACCGCGUGGAGGCCCUCACGCUGCGUGGCAUCAAUAGCUUUCGCCAGUACAAGUAUGACCUGGUAGCAGUGGGCAAGGCUCUGGAGGGCAUGUUCCGAAAGCUCAACCACCUGCUGGAGCGGCUGCACCAGUCCUUCUUCUUCUACCUGCUGCCGGCGCUCUCGCGCUUCGUCUCCAUCGGCCUCUACAUGCCGGCCGCCGGCUUCCUGCUCCUGGUCCUCGGGCUCAAGGCCCUGGAGCUGUGGAUGCAGUUGCACGAGGCUGGAGUGGGCCCCGAGGAGGCUCGGGGCGUUCCCGGGCCCAGCCCCGCCGCUCCCCCAGUGCAGGGUGUGGGGCUGACCUCGCUCGUGGCACCUCUGCUGAUCUCCCAGGCCAUGGGGCUGGCCCUCUACGUCCUGCCGGUGCUGGGCCAGCACGUGGCCGCCCAACACUUCCCAGUGGCCGAGGCCGAGGCCGUGGUGCUGGCGCUGCUGGCGAUUUACGCCGCUGGCCUGGCCCUUCCACACAACACUCACCGGGUGGUGAGCACACAGGCCCCGGACAGGGGCUGGAUGGCGUUGAAGCUGGUGGCUCUGGUCUACCUGGCCCUACAGCUGGGCUGCAUCGCACUCACCAACUUCUCACUGGGCUUCCUGCUGGCUGCCACCAUGGUGCCUGCUGCCGCUCUCGCCGAGCCCCACGGGCCCCGGCCGCUCUACGCCGCCCUGCUGGUGCUGACAAGCCCAGCAGCCACUCUCCUGGGCAGCCUGUUCCUGUGGCGGGAGCUGCAGGAGGUGCCGCUGUCGCUGGCUGAGGGCUGGCAGCUCUUCCUGGCAGCGCUGGCCCAGGGCGUGCUGGAACACUACACCUACGGCGCCCUGCUCUUCCCGCUGCUGGCCCUGGGCCUCUACCCCUGCUGGCUUCUCUUCUGGAACGUGCUCUUCUGGAAGUGAGAUGGUGGCACCAGCGUCCCUGGGCCAUGCUGGAGCCUGGAGUCAGGACUCCAUCCCCGUCUCCCAGACUAUUUGAGAAGCAGAGUCAUAGACAGAAAGAAAAGUCUGCCGUUGGCUGGUUCGCCCCCCAAGUGGCCGCAACAGCCGGAGCUGAGCCAAUCAAGAGCCAGGAACUUCUUGAAGUUUUAAUUUUACGUACAAACAGCUAGCAUGAUUUUCCAUGUUGUUAAUGUCAUUGAAGAAGCGGUUCUCGGAACAUCAUUCGUCCAACUUAGAAGUCUGAACCCUUCCCAUACUGAAGGGAGCAGUGGCGCUGAGACUGUACCUGGGUCGGCCUGUGCUGGCUGCUCGUCUGGCAGGAGCUCUCCGCACGGUUGAGGGCGUGGGCCCCUGUGACGCGGCAGCCUCACCAGCCUGCCCAUCUUCACCCUGCCGUCCCGGGCUGGGACCUCGGGUCAGUUUCUGUGAUGAGCACUUUCCCUGACCCAGCUGCCUCCCUGACGAGGAGCACGUCCCGGCUGUCAGCCUGGAACCUGGGCUGCUGUGUGGUAAACAGUUGUAGUUUUGGUCUUUUGUUUGUUUUUGGUUGAUUUGAAAGGUAGAGGGAUAGGGAGAGAAAGAGCUUCCAUACGUGGCUCGCUCCCCAAGUACUGACAGACAGGCAGGGCCAGGGCAGGGUGAAGGCAAGAGCCAGACUUCUGGCUGGGUCUCCCGUGUGGGUGGCAAGGACUUGGGCCAGGGGCCAUGGGCCAGUGCUGUGGUGUAGCAGGUAAAGCCGCCGCCUGCAGUGCCAGCAUCCCAUAUGGGCGCCGGGUCAAGUCCCGGCUGCUCCUCUCUGAUCCCGCUCUCUGCUGUGGCCUGGGAAAGCAGUGGAAGAUGGCCCAAGUGUUUGGGCCCCUGCACCUGCAUGGGAGACCUGGAAGAAGCUCCUGGCUUUGGCUUCAUAUUGGCACAGCUCCAACCAUUGCGGCCAAGUGGGGAGUGAACCAGCGGAUGGAAGACCUUUCUGUCUCCCUCUCUCUGUGGCUCUACCUCUCAA